UGUUAGUAUUAUAAUCUGUGACAAUGAUCUGUGACAUUGUCAAGGUGACAGUUGUUAGUUGACAUACGAUUAUUUCUGAUGUUUGGUGGUCUUCAUUUUGUAUUGGCAAAAAUAUGACUCAUGUAACGACUACUUACUUACAUCAGUAAGUAGUAACCUUUGGCGGCUCAAUAGUAACCCUGACACCAGGGUUGAUGAGGUUGGUACGUCACCUCACAACCCACACGAUAAGAAGAAGAUUGGCAAAAAUAUAUCUCCAACUCCUAUCUCUAAAGACGAUGAUAACCAUUGUGAAGAAUGACAUGCAAAGGCUAUUAGAACCACAUAUCAACAAUUUUCUGACCAUGACCAAGUGAUGAAUAUGAUAAAAGUCUACCUCAUGAAAGCCACACUACUUUUCAAAGAAAAAUAUUUUCUUUGGAGUUGUAGGUAUUAUAGUGAAAACUUAAUCUUGACUUCUGUUCUGCAUAAAUGAGAAUCGCACUAUGCCAGGUAACAUAAUGUAGCGAGUACCCUGGUUGAGUCAAGAUAAUAUAAAAUAAGUGGAAAGAUAAUGUGGCCCAAGUAUGUGAUGAUGUGCAAACAGCCGAAUGUGAAUCUGGUAAUAAUGUGCCUGUUUAAAUGAGUUUUAGUUGAGUACCAAAUAGUUACCUAGGUUUUCCUGGGAAAAACACUGAUCCAGCCUUUCUGAUUCAACUGAGUUUUUGUAUGGUUUUGAAUAAAUAACUAAACAAUAGAAAUGUGUCUUUUUUAUUU